rnacentral:rRNA from 1 species
CAUACUGGGGGCAUCAUUGAGGAAUAUUGGUCAAUGGACGAGAGUCUGAACCAUCCCCGUGCCUUUCCCUCUUCCUUCCCUCUUUUUUUUCCCCUUCUUUUCUCCCUUAAUAAAACGAGGCACGUGUGCCUUUUUGCAUGUACUUUAUGAAUAAGGAUCGGCUAACUCCGUGCCAGCAGCCGCGGUAAUACGGAGGAUCCGAGCGUUAUCCGGAUUUAUUGGGUUUAAAGGGAGCGUAGGCGGCCUUUUAAGUCAGCGGUGAAAGUCUGUGGCUCAACCAUAGAAUUGCCGUUGAAACUGGGAGGCUUGAGUAUGUUUGAGGCAGGCGGAAUGCGUGGUGUAGCGGUGAAAUGCUUAGAUAUCACGCAGAACCCCGAUUGCGAAGGCAGCCUGCCAAGCCAUGACUGACGCUGAUGCACGAAAGCGUGGGGAUCAAACAGGAUUAGAUACCCUAGUAGUC